UUUUUUGUAUAUUUUUUAUUGGAGUUUGAUUUGCCAAUAUAUAACACCCAGUGCUCAUCAAGUGCCCCCCUCAGUGCCCGUUCAUUUUUAUCUUUGUAAUAACACUGUGGUAAUAUUCUGUUGACAAGCUUGUCUCCAUCAUUUUAUAAUAAGAUGUACCCCUAGCAUCAAGUAUUGCAACUAGCAUAUAAAACAUAAAACUAUUGGGACAGAAAUCAAAUCAUUGGCUGACAGGAACUAGGGAAAUGGGGAGAAAACUGGUAAUAGACAAGAUGGAACUUUUUAGGGUGAUAAACAUGUUUUGUAUCUAGUUGUGGUAUUAAAAUGACCACAUAUAUUUGUCAAAAGUCAUUGAACUAUACACCUAAAAGUGGUAUUUUAUACUGUAUAUAAAUUAUACCUCAAAAUAAACAUGUAUUAUAAAAACUAUAUAAGAAUAAGGAAAUGGUGGGACACCUGGGUGGCUCAGAAGUUGAGCAUCUGCCUUAGCUUAGGCCAAGAUCCUGGAGUUCCAGGAUCCAGUCCCACAUCAGGCUCCCUGCGUGGAGCCUGCUUCUCCCUCUGUCUCUGCCACUCUCUCUGUCAUGAAUAAAUAAAUAAAAUCUUUUUAAAAAAUAAGGAAAUGGACAUGAAUAAAUGCAAGACACAUUGCUAUAUUUACCUGAGAUUUAAUUUUCUUUAUAUGCUUAGUUUUUUUAAGCACCAUCUAAAACCAAAGCAAUGCUUAGCACAAAUAAAACCUGAUUGCUGGGCAUUUUAGGUAAGCCAGUAAGACUUUUGGAACAAAGAUAUUUCUAGGAAUUCUGAAAUUAUUUUUUAUCAUCUACCUAAGUAGAAAAGUGCUCAAUAUCUAUUUUUUAGAGACAACUUUAGUAUUGAUUCUAACAUGAUAUCAAGUAAUCCUUCCUAGUACUCUAACUCAAAAGUACUUUGCAGUCAGUCUCGGAAAUAUCUUAUGUUGAUAUUAAGAGAAGAGAGCAAGGGUACUAUAGAAAUUUCAAAUGAAGCCAAACUCUGCAUAUGUAAAACUUAUAUUUUGUCUACACUUUAUUUUAUCACAUUAGAUUUCUGAUCUUCUUACAUAUGUUUUAAGAUUAUCUGUCUAGAGAGUUAACUUUACACACUUUUAACAUCAUGGUAAUCUUUUUUAAAAAAAUAUUUUAUUCAUUUAUUCAUGAGAGACACACACACAGAGGCACAGAUACAGGCAGAGGGAGAAGCAAGCUCUAUGCAGGGCGCCCAAUGUGGGACUUGAUCCUGGGACCCCAGGAUCAUGCCCUGGGCCAAAGGCAGGUGCUAAACCACUGAGCAACCCAGGUAUCCCACAUCAUAGUAAACUUAAAAUAAAUUAAACUGAUGUUGAGUUAGAGUUAUGAUAGAUUACUAACUUACCUUUGCUUCAUAAAGACUGGGUUUCUCUUAAGACAUAAAUUUAAAUGUUUACUACUUCUAAAUACCAGUGAAAGACAGUAUAUACCUAUGCAGGUAUGAACACACAGCACCCAUCUCACCCCUCUUGCAUUUCAGUCUCUGCUCAGAAAAGGCACAAUCCUAAAAUUAAAAGUGAAACUUUAAACCUCUAUAGAGUAUCAUUGUACAUUACCUGGAGCAAUGUCUGAGAUCACAUAAAGUUCACAGUUGUUUCAUUUCUUCUUGCUCAAUUUUUUUAAAGUCAGCAUUUUCUACAGCACCUGUACGGCAGGUUUGGCCCAUGUCUGUUUUCCAGUUCUGCUUAUCAGCUAAAACAUGGGCUGAGUUAUUAUCAUUUAAUCUUUCCAAGAGUCAAUUUUUUCAUUUAUAAUAUGUACAAAUAACAUCUUCAUGAGUAUAGUUAAGAUUAAAUGAAAUGAUAUCUGUCUUUUAUAAACAUAACAUG
rnacentral:lncRNA from 1 species